UAUAUGAUCUUUUCCCUGCCUAUAAUUUUUCUUAUGUUACUCCUGAGCAUUGCUUGUUUUCAUAUCUGAGGUGUUGGGCAAUAUGCUAUGAAGGAAUUUUACUUGCUAUUAGCUAGUCAAAUAUAAGGCUUGGGUAGGAGGCUACCUGUGUCUGCGCUAAGGUAUCUCAGGACAAAGUUCUUCUGUAUGACCACCAAGUUCACAUUUCCUAUUAGCAAACAAAUGGUUUCAAUGAUCGUAGCUAAUCUUUUAGGAAGAAAUGGGCUUCAGAUUGUUUGGUGCUGCUGAUUAGAGCUUGGAGCUGUUGCUGCCUUCUCUUGUGUGCAAAUACAACACAUUGCAAAGAUUGGUUUGCCUUUCCUGCUUUCCUGCUUUGCAAAAGUCACAAGUGCCUAUUCAUUACUUAGUAGCAGUUUGUUGUAGUGGAAUGGAAUGAUUACAUUUUGUAACCUACAUGAUUGAUUUAAGUAGAAAACAUCUUUACAUCUUCGAUCCAGUGAUUCUUUGAGAUA